CAUUGAUUUGGUGUAAGCAGAGAUGGGAGUAAGUCACACAUGGUCAAGUCACAAGCAAAGUCUUAACCUUCAAGUCUCAAGCAAGUCCAAGUCAUUUUUUGUGACAUUAAAGCAAGUCAAGUCAUAGCUUGGGUCAAACAAGUCACAUGUCAAGUCAUACAAAAUUUUCCAUUUUUAAACAAGCUAAAGACAGUGGUUACUGCUUGAGUCUAAUUUGCAUUUUUUUCCCACUCAAUAUUCAAAACACAUUGCGUCCAAGCCACAUACAUCUGAA